GAAAGGAGGGAGGGAGAGAAGGAAGGAAAGAAGCGUGUGGUGGGCCAGGAGUCUAUCAGAGAUAAGAAAUAGGAUUGCUGAAAAAACUCUGCUGAGCAGCGACAGCAAACUGAAACGCCCAGAACAAUCAGGCAGACCCUUCAUGAAUGAGGCAGCCAGAAGUGUGAAGAAAAUAAAGCAACUAGAGGUUUUUGCGAAGCUGAUGUGCUCAUUCCGCUUUUAGCCCACUGGUUUCAAAGGGAGGCGCACACGCACUCUUUCCACAUGAUCCAGUCAUGGAUUCAGACCGCAGGCCAAGGCCACAAGCAACAGUGCCCUGCUACAUCUGCCUCGGCCCCUGGCGGCUGCCUUCCAAGAAGUGCUGGAACAGCGGAAGCAGCUAGCAGCGCGGGUAAGAAGUGGUCAGCAGUUGGGAACAGCUGGAGGGAGGAGGGAGUGAGCAAAUAUCAGAGUUUGGGAAAUAAGGCUUUGGCUGAACAAAGUUCACUGUUGUUUUCCAAGAAAGCAGAGCCUGAUUGAGCCAGCCCAGACAGCAGGGCCAGGAGCAAUGAACUGAAUGUUGGCUCCCAACUUCUAAGGCAUGGUAUGCUUGGCCACCCAACAGUGACGAGGUCCAUUGUUGUUCCCCUCAGGGCAGAGGGCAGGCAGCAGCUCAGUGUAAAAGGGGAAGAUGGACAGGCAGUCAGAGUAAGACGAAACUACAGAGAUGGAGAACAAGAUGAAAGGAAAAACAACAAAAAGGCCUUCUGGGCUUUCCCUGUGCUAUGCAAAUUCACUGAAAUUAAUCCUCCAUUAACGAUUCCAUCUUGAACAUUUCAAGCUGUUCCAUCCUGCAGGUACCUACCUUUUGAAGUAGUGAGCUCUCCGUUCCUAGCAGAGUUUGAGCAGAAGCUCAACUAUCAUCCAUCAGAAAUUCUGUUAAAAAGAUGAAAGGCUGGACUAGAUCACCCCUACAACUCCUGGCAUGUACCUAGAGCACAAGGGGUGCUGGAUAGAUGUUUGGUGAAUGAAUCGAUUGCAAAGACAGAAAUUGUCCAUUUCUGCAUAUUGGCAAUAAUAAUAGCAUUUUGAACACUUACUAUGUGCUAGUAACUAGGCCAGACAAAUAUAUGACGUAUACAUAUCAUAAUAGUCCCUAAGAUGUGGUUGCUGCGAUUGUUCCCAUUUUAUAGAUGACUCAACCAAGGCGGAUGAGUGGCAGAACGAGGAUUCAAGGCCAGGUCCGUCCCACUCCUGAGCUGAAGCUCUCAGCCAUCAUGUUAAAUUGAAUCUCAGUCCUCUGCUCCGUGUAUCCAUUUUUAAGUGCUGUGCGUGGUGUGUUCAGCAGAUGGAAACGGCACUGUCGCCCCGUGUAGACCGAAGGCAGG
rnacentral:lncRNA from 1 species